rnacentral:rRNA from 1 species
UACGGAGGGUGCGAGCGUUGUCCGGAAUCACUGGGCGUAAAGGGUGUGUAGGCGGACUUUUAAGUCAGCGGUGAAAUCUCCGGGCUCAACCCGGAAACUGCCAUUGAUACUAUUGGUCUUGAAUAUUGUGGAGGUGGGCGGAACGGGUCAUGUAGCGGUGAAAUGCUUAGAGAUGACCCGGAACACCGAUUGCGAAGGCAGCCCACUACGCAAUGAUUGACGCUGAGGCACGAAAGCGUGGGGAUCAAACAGG